AAACCUGAAACAACUUCUUCACCCUGGGUAGUUGCUACAGGCCCUCCAACUGCUGAUGCUAAUGUAGGCCAGCUGAAAACCUUGCAGCUCCCCAGUCCUCCGGAAUAUGUUGUGUACACCGACAGUGAGUUGGAGCAAUGCCGAAAGAGUUACCUGGAGUUGGCCUGCUCCGGCAGGGAACAAGCAUGCGUCAUGUCAAAAGAACUGAGAUGCAGAUUGGUGAGAAAUACAAUCACAAGUAUGGUGUCCCUUUUGAGAGCAAGCCAAGGCCAAAUGGAGUGAUACCCCUCUAAGACCGAAAUCACUGCAAUGGCUAAAAAAGUUGUGGAAUAUUAUCCUAUGCUGCAGGAUAAUGAUGCAAGCGUAAAACACGAGAGCAUUAAUGCCAAGUUACAAAAAAGGCUGCAAAAUAUGAAAACCCCAGUAAAAAGGCAAGGACCAACACCGGAGAGGGGACGGCCCAAGAGAAGGCUCACUGACCUCUCCCCAAGGGAUGAAGAAGCUGAUGAUGAAGAUGCUGAUCGCAGUUCUUCCAGUGGUGCAUCUACUCUGUUAUCACCUGUCAGAAAUUCUGACGAUGCCUCCACUUCAUCUGACAAGGAUAGUCGGCAAAUACAAGCAAGACAUUACAAAACAUUACAAGAAAUGUGCAAGAAGGCAAAACCAAACCAAGAAGAUGUGUCCCAGCUAUUAGACCUCGAGUUUGAAGCCAGAAGAUCCUUCAUUGACUCAGACACCAUGAAAGAGGAGAACAGAGCUCGCCUCAUCUUGGAUGCAUAUCCAUGCUUUAAAGAAUUGCAUCAUGCAUUGGGUGAGCUUCGCAGAAUUUUGGAUCCCCACAACAAGUUCAUCAGUCAAAUAAAACUGAGAUGGGAAGAAUUCUGCUCCAGGGUAGAGUUCUACGGUGUGUCAAAGAAGGCAAUGAAUCCACCAAUGACCAUGGACAAAACUGAAGCCCACCUUGCACUGAUGAAGGCUCUUCCAACGCUCUUUCCCACACCUGCCCAUCCACCAAAAAAGAUGGGGAAUGCUUCUGAAGCAUUUCUACAUGUCCUGAAGGUAAGUUUUGUAAAAUUUGCUUAUAAAGAUCUACAGAAAAUUUGGCAAACGAAAUUUUUCGGUCAAAUAUGACUCCAAAAUGCUUUUUCGGUUUCAGCCGAAAGACUUAAAUCUAUAAUUUAUUGUUUUCAUUAAUUUAUAACGUAUUUAAUGUACACGAGUGUGGUCACAUAAGGAGUCGCUUGACACUGAUAAACCAUAAGUCAUAACUAUUAUAAAAUGUGUGUAACCAACAAAGAACAAGAUAAUGACGUCUCCGACGUUAUGACCAAAUCCCAGCAAAAAAACAUACAAUUAACAUAAGAUGUUAACUGUCAUGUCUUUUGUGUCUUGCAGCCUACAGAAGAUCCAGAUGCUGUCCUCCAGAAACGAAGCUUGUCAUGUCCAGUAGUGAUGUUCGAUGGCUGCAAGUGUGUCAUUGCUGUUGGUAAUUUACCAGUUACAACAUUUGACAAAGAAAAACUUGGUGAGGCUAUGAUAUAUGUGAUGGCAUACUUUUAUGCACUCCAUCUGACUUACCCCAAAUGCGUGGCAACCCUGCUGUCUGUCAUUCAGACAGAAGUUCUCCAGGAUGCCAUUCAUGAGCAUGACACUACAUCAUCUUACAGAAAAGCCCUGGCAGAAUGGCAUGCAUUUAUUGGAAAGUAGUGUGUAAAUUUCAGAUAAGAUUAUGAGAGGGCACUUUUGUUUUGUUUUUUGUUUUUUCAAUCUGGGUCUUAUUUCUAAAAUGGAAAAUGUUCAUUUACUCACCCAGACAAGAUCUGUGGUAUUUGGUGUCAUUCGAAAGAAAUUUGAAUCUUUGUGGUCUUCCUAUGUCACUCGUCAAUUUUAAUGGGGCAAUGGCGAAACCUCUAAGGCUGUUGAAAUGUUGAAACCACUUAAACAAACUCAUAAUGUUGGACCUGUACUGUUCAAUUGUAUCUUUAUUAUCUGCAGGUUAUUGUUAAAGUGGACAAAUAAAGAUGGACACUUUUGCUCUGUUUCAGUUUUGUUUUGUCCUUAAUCAGCAAUAUAAUCUUAAAGUAGUGUUUAGCUAAAUUUAAAAAGCAGAAAUAUCUUUAAAAUGAUUUAAUGUACUAGUUUUUAGACUAUUUGCCUUGAUUUGUUCGUUAGAAUAAGUGUUUUAUGCCUAUUUUCAGAUUUAAUUUCUUCAACAUUUUACUUAGAACAAGUGGUUAAAGCUUAUUUUUAGGUUUCAAGCCAUGAUUGGUUGCCUGGAAUAAGUGUAAAAGACUUAUUUUUAUCUUUAUUAUCUUUAUUUGUGGCCUACAAUAAGUGGUUAAAGCUUAUUUUAAGUUUCAAUUGUUCUGAUUUGUUGCCUGGAAUAAGUGUAAGAGACUUAUUUUUAGCUUUAUUAUCUUAUUUGUGGCUUACAAUAAGUGGUUAAAGCUUAUUUUAAGUUUCAAUGUUCUGAUUUGUUGCCUGGAAUGAGUGUAAAAGACUUAUUUUUAGCUUUAUUUAAAUCUAGAUAUUGUUCUUAUUUCAAGAAAUCUUGUUAAGAAAAAAACACUUACCCCAUGGGCAGAUAAUUUCACUUGUUUUAAGCAAAUCUUCACCAAAAAUAAGUGUAUUUUUCUAGUAUUAAGGAAGUGGGUUUUUGCAGUGUGUAUACUGAUCAGGUGUAGUGCGGUUGUUCAGUGUUCUGUAAUCAAUACAGAUUCUUAUAGCCCCAUUCUUUUUCUGCACAACAACAAUUGGGGAGGCAUAUGGGCUACGGGACUCUGUUAUAAUUCCAGCAGCCAACAGCUGCUGUAUGUGUCGCCUCACAUCAUCAAUGUCGGCUGGGGCUAGUCUCCUUGACCUCUCCCGGAAAGGUCUAGGGUCAUGUAGACGAAUGUGGUGUUCAACCCCUUUAGCCAAGCCAACGUCCCACUCAUGCAUUGAGAAGACAUUUCUCCUCUCAGCUAACUUCUGCCGAAGUCUACUUUUCCACUUCUCGGGGAUAGGGGAGUCCCCAAAAUCGAAGAGGUUUGGAUCUAUUUUCUCAGUGGCAAGGUCAGAGGGUUGGACUGGGGUGACUGUAUCCACGGCAAACAUUUCAGCAAUGACAGAUCCCACUGGUAUGGAGACUGUCUUUGUGGAUUCAUUUUGGAGGAUCACAUUCAAGCUAUUGCUGUCUAUGCCAGCAUCAGAGAGCACACCUGGCUGUACCAGCACGCCGGCAGGGAGUAACUGGGUAGAGGGUGCAUCGAUCGAGAUAAGGUCUUUGGAGGGGGCACUGUGCCUGUCUACUUUGCAGGUGGCAUAGCAAUUUGCUCCUGGGGCGAUAGAGAGAGGGCGGGGCCCUUUCCAUUUUAUCUGUCCCAGCACAUCAUUUUUUUGCAGUUGCUCCUGUGCCCUAAUGGGGGAAUACACAGACUGAAUUCUCAUAGAAUGAGCUGUGUUCUGGUCACCUUU
ensembl:lncRNA